rnacentral:misc_RNA from 1 species
UGGCAUACCUCUUCAUUUAUGCGUCAUGACUUGUAUCGUCUUGAGCGUAUUGUGGGUUUCCUGUGUUGCAUACCUUUCUAAUGGUAUCGUGUUGAUUGAUCAAAGUCCCUUUUCAUCUUGUGUUGCUUUUUGYGACGCAUGAUGAACCUYGAGGCGGUCUCUAUGUUCCACCACGUUGAUSCUAGCGUUUUGAUGUUGUGGCCCAUUGAGCKUUGCUUGGUUUCRUGGAUACAGAACAUGAUUUGGACAUAGGGUUACUUGUGACUCUUGUUYUGUCCUUUAUCAGUGUUCUUUAUAACGACGGUUCAUGCGCGCCUAGGCUCGUACCUGCGCGAUGUUCUUWGUCGAAGAGGAAUGC